GGGACACCUGAGGACACAGAAUAAAGAAGGACCAUGUGAAGCAGAUGAUGGUGAAGGUUGAGGAGAUAAUGACUUGAUCAGAAACUGUGGCCGACAACUGCAAACGCGCAGCAAACAGCAAAACGAGCUGCAAACAGACUCAUGAAGAGGACGGUCAGAGUCGUCCAUAGCUUUCUUGACUCUUGUGAAGAAUCUUUCUUUGCGUCAUCUCCAGAGGUUCCACAGUCAUCUCCAGAACAGAACCAGAACCAAU